AGUGAGAUUGCUGGGUGAUAUAGUAAAUGUAUGUUUAACUUUAUAAGAAACUGCCAAACUGUUUUCCAGAGUGAUUGUGUAUUUUACAUUUCCACCAGCAAU
rnacentral:pre_miRNA from 2 species